UGGGGAAUAUUGCACAAUGGGCGCAAGCCUAAUGCAGCGACGCCGCGUGAGGGAUGACGGCCUUCGGGUUGUAAACCUCUGUUAGCAGGGAAGAAGAGAAAUUGACGGUACCUGCAGAGAAAGCGCCGGCUAACUACGUGCCAGCAGCCGCGGUAAUACGUAGGGCGCGAGCGUUGUCCGGAAUUAUUGGGCGUAAAGAGCUUGUAGGCGGUUUGUCGCGUCUGCUGUGAAAGGCCGGGGCUUAACCCCGUGUAUUGCAGUGGGUACGGGCAGACUAGAGUGCAGUAGGGGAGACUGGAACUCCUGGUGUAGCGGUGGAAUGCGCAGAUAUCAGGAAGAACACCGAUGGCGAAGGCAGGUCUCUGGGCUGUAACUGACGCUGAGAAGCGAAAGCAUGGGGAGCGAACAGGAUUAGAUACCCUGGUAGUCCAUGCCGUAAACGUUGGGCACUAGGUGUGGGGGACAUUCCACGUUUUCCGCGCCGUAGCUAACGCAUUAAGUGCCCCGCCUGGGGAGUACGGCCGCAAGGCUA
rnacentral:rRNA from 1 species